rnacentral:rRNA from 1 species
UUUGAAUCUGCUCAGAUUGAACGCUGGCGGCAGGCCUAACACAUGCAAGUCGAGCGGAAACGAGUUAUCUGAACCUUCGGGGAACGAUAACGGCGUCGAGCGGCGGACGGGUGAGUAAUGCCUAGGAAAUUGCCCUGAUGUGGGGGAUAACCAUUGGAAACGAUGGCUAAUACCGCAUGAUGCCUACGGGCCAAAGAGGGGGACCUUCGGGCCUCUCGCGUCAGGAUAUGCCUAGGUGGGAUUAGCUAGUUGGUGAGGUAAGGGCUCACCAAGGCGACGAUCCCUAGCUGGUCUGAGAGGAUGAUCAGCCACACUGGAACUGAGACACGGUCCAGACUCCUACGGGAGGCAGCAGUGGGGAAUAUUGCACAAUGGGCGCAAGCCUGAUGCAGCCAUGCCGCGUGUGUGAAGAAGGCCUUCGGGUUGUAAAGCACUUUCAGUCGUGAGGAAGGUAGUGUAGUUAAUAGCUGCAUUAUUUGACGUUAGCGACAGAAGAAGCACCGGCUAACUCCGUGCCAGCAGCCGCGGUAAUACGGAGGGUGCGAGCGUUAAUCGGAAUUACUGGGCGUAAAGCGCAUGCAGGUGGUUUGUUAAGUCAGAUGUGAAAGCCCGGGGCUCAACCUCGGAAUAGCAUUUGAAACUGGCAGACUAGAGUACUGUAGAGGGGGGUAGAAUUUCAGGUGUAGCGGUGAAAUGCGUAGAGAUCUGAAGGAAUACCGGUGGCGAAGGCGGCCCCCUGGACAGAUACUGACACUCAGAUGCGAAAGCGUGGGGAGCAAACAGGAUUAGAUACCCUGGUAGUCCACGCCGUAAACGAUGUCUACUUGGAGGUUGUGGCCUUGAGCCGUGGCUUUCGGAGCUAACGCGUUAAGUAGACCGCCUGGGGAGUACGGUCGCAAGAUUAAAACUCAAAUGAAUUGACGGGGGCCCGCACAAGCGGUGGAGCAUGUGGUUUAAUUCGAUGCAACGCGAAGAACCUUACCUACUCUUGACAUCCAGAGAACUUUCCAGAGAUGGAUUGGUGCCUUCGGGAACUCUGAGACAGGUGCUGCAUGGCUGUCGUCAGCUCGUGUUGUGAAAUGUUGGGUUAAGUCCCGCAACGAGCGCAACCCUUAUCCUUGUUUGCCAGCGAGUAAUGUCGGGAACUCCAGGGAGACUGCCGGUGAUAAACCGGAGGAAGGUGGGGACGACGUCAAGUCAUCAUGGCCCUUACGAGUAGGGCUACACACGUGCUACAAUGGCGCAUACAGAGGGCGGCCAACUUGCGAAAGUGAGCGAAUCCCAAAAAGUGCGUCGUAGUCCGGAUUGGAGUCUGCAACUCGACUCCAUGAAGUCGGAAUCGCUAGUAAUCGUGGAUCAGAAUGCCACGGUGAAUACGUUCCCGGGCCUUGUACACACCGCCCGUCACACCAUGGGAGUGGGCUGCAAAAGAAGUAGGUAGUUUAACCUUCGGGGGGACGCUUACCACUUUGUGGUUCAUGACUGGGGUGAAGUCGAAAAAGG